GUGGGGAAUCUUCCGCAAUGGACGAAAGUCUGACGGAGCAACGCCGCGUGAGUGAUGAAGGUCUUCGGAUUGUAAAGCUCUGUUAAUCGGGACGAAAGAGCCUAGUGUGAAUAAUGCUAGGAAGUGACGGUACCGGAAUAGAAAGCCACGGCUAACUACGUGCCAGCAGCCGCGGUAAUACGUAGGUGGCAAGCGUUGUCCGGAAUUAUUGCGCGUAAAGCGCGCGCAGGCGGAUCUGCCAGUCUGUCUUAAAAGUUCGGGGCUUAACCCCGUGAUGGGAUGGAAACUACAGAUCUAGAGUAUCGGAGAGGAAAGUGGAAUUCCUAGUGUAGCGGUGAAAUGCGUAGAUAUUAGGAAGAACACCAGUGGCGAAGGCGACUUUCUGGACGAAAACUGACGCUGAGGCGCGAAAGCCAGGGGAGCGAACGGGAUUAGAAACCCUAGUAGUCC
rnacentral:rRNA from 1 species